rnacentral:rRNA from 1 species
UACGUAGGGUGCAAGCGUUUGUCCGGAAUUAUUGGGCGUAAAGAGCUCGUAGGCGGUCUGUCGCGUCUGCUGUGAAAACUCAGGGCUUAACCCUGAGCUUGCAGUGGGGUACGGGCAGACUAGAGUGCGGUAGGGGAGACUGGAAUUCCUGGUGUAGCGGUGAAAUGCGCAGAUAUCAGGAGGGAACACCGGUGGGCGAAGGCGGGGUCUCUGGGCC